CAAGUCGAGCGGUAGAGAGAAGCUUGCUUCUCUUGAGAGCGGCGGACGGGUGAGUAAUGCCUAGGAAUCUGCCUGGUAGUGGGGGAUAACGCUCGGAAACGGACGCUAAUACCGCAUACGUCCUACGGGAGAAAGCAGGGGACCUUCGGGCCUUGCGCUAUCAGAUGAGCCUAGGUCGGAUUAGCUAGUUGGUGAGGUAAUGGCUCACCAAGGCGACGAUCCGUAACUGGUCUGAGAGGAUGAUCAGUCACACUGGAACUGAGACACGGUCCAGACUCCUACGGGAGGCAGCAGUGGGGAAUAUUGGACAAUGGGCGAAAGCCUGAUCCAGCCAUGCCGCGUGUGUGAAGAAGGUCUUCGGAUUGUAAAGCACUUUAAGUUGGGAGGAAGGGCAGUAAAUUAAUACUUUGCUGUUUUGACGUUACCGACAGAAUAAGCACCGGCUAACUCUGUGCCAGCAGCCGCGGUAAUACAGAGGGUGCAAGCGUUAAUCGGAAUUACUGGGCGUAAAGCGCGCGUAGGUGGUUCGUUAAGUUGGAUGUGAAAUCCCCGGGCUCAACCUGGGAACUGCAUUCAAAACUGUCGAGCUAGAGUAUGGUAGAGGGUGGUGGAAUUUCCUGUGUAGCGGUGAAAUGCGUAGAUAUA
rnacentral:rRNA from 2 species